AAAGGGCCGCGGUAAUUUGACCGUGCGAAGGUAGCAUAAUCAGUAGCCUUUUAAUUGGAGGCUUGAAUGAACGGCUGGAUGAGGGACAUUCUGUCUUUCUUUUAGAGGAAGAAUUUAACUUUUAAGUGAAAAGGCUUAAAUUUUUUGGAGUGACGAUAAGACCCUAUAAAACUUUACACAUUUUGCCUCUUAGUCAAUAAUUUUGUUUAACUUUGGCUUUAGGUGGACUGUGUUUCGUUGGGGAAACGUUUAUAUAAGCUUAAUUGUCUUUAAAAUUUAAUAGUUAUAAUUAGAUUAUGGUCCUCUUGUGGGGAUUAGAAGAUUAAGUUACUUUAGGGAUAACAGCGUAAUUUUCUCUGAGAGUUCUUAUCGACGAGAUUAGUUGCGACCUCGAUGUUGAAUUAAAAUUUCAGGUUGGUGUAGCCGCUUCCCUGGUAGGUCUGUUCGACCUUUAAAAUUUUACGUGAUCU
rnacentral:rRNA from 2 species